UACGUAGGGGGCAAGCGUUGUUCGGAAUGACUGGGCGUAAAGGGUGCGUAGGCGGUGUAGCAAGUUAGAAGUGAAAUACCUAGAGCUUAACUCAGGUGCUGCUUCUAAAACUGCUAUACUUGAGUGCAGUAGAGGAAAGUGGAAUUCCUAGUGUAGCGGUGGAAUGCGUAGAUAUUAGGAGGAACAUCAGUGGCGAAGGCGACUUUCUGGACUGUAACUGACGCUGAGGCACGAAAGUGAGGGGAGCAAACAGG
rnacentral:rRNA from 1 species